AGUUGUACGUAUAAUAAAAAUUGUGUCUAACAUUGAACAAGAUCUUGGAUUCAGUGAAACAGCUGAGUACUGUAGCUUGCUUAACUGUUUUCCUCUGGUAAUUCUCUCUGCUUCCACCUUCUUUCCCCUUUUCAGGAUUCACCUUUAUCAUAAUUGUUAUUUAUAACAAUUAUUACACAAUUUGAACCUGCAUAGUCCCUUAUAAUUAAUGAAAUAUUUACUUAUCGAAUAGGUAAUACAAUUCAUAAAUUACAAAAUUGAAAAAUUGCGAAAGAUUCUACACGGACAAGCCCCCCAUCCAUUUCUGUCCCCAGCCAUCUAGUUCCCGUCGCGUCCUGUCCCGGGGCUGACCAGGACAGUGUUGUUAGUUAGUGUCCCCUGUAUUUUUCUAGUGCUGGCUGUUUUCUGUCCUUCCUCAUUCUUUUUGUGAUGCUAAUGACCGCAUCCUCCACGCACUGUCACCCUUGAUUCCUUCCUGGGUACCUUGUGUACGGUAAACACAUCACGAAACUUCCAGCCAAACAUGAGUUCUGGCCAGUUGACAGGCAGGCGUUACGGUUACAGUUUAACAGGUAAUUGUACUGAGGCCCAAAGAGGUCACAGAGAUUUUCCCAGCGACAGAGCUGGGGCUCAGCCCCGGAUCUUCCAGCCUCUGCUAGGAAAGCAGAGGAAGGCAAUAUGUGAGUGGACUAAUUUCUUUUUGAUCACACUGUUCUCCCUUGAAACGCCAGUUAGCAUUUGAAACUCCUUGGUGCUGUGUGGAGUCUGUCAACUGAGACCCACUUCUGGGCCUCCAGGAGUCUUUAAAUCUCAGUGGCCAUUGAUCGCACCCCUAACGAGGUACAUGCAUUCUGGGGACAGGGAACGGCUCGUGCAAGGGCGUAGAGGUGUGGAGAGACCCAGUGAGCUGAGGAACUGGCCUGUAAUGCGGCUUUUCCUGCCCCCAACUGCUCGUGUGGUCUGUCCAGGACUUGCCUCAACAGCCUUUCCACACAGCAUCACAGAAGGCGUGAACAGUCCCCCACAGGGUGGUAGGGGAGGUGCCCAGGGGCAAGCAGGAAGGGAAAUGUUCUCUGUCCUCUGGUCCCCUCAUGUGACCUUAGUUGUUCCCCAAGCUCAUUUCUACUGUCACAGCUAGUAAUGCCGGGUAACGAGUACUCACCAAAUGCAACCUAUUUAGAUACAUUAGAUACGAGCUAAGAACUGAUCAGUGCUGUACUGGUAGGUGUUUAAAAACCAACCCUCUGGGGUAAAGCAUGGCUUUGAUUUGGCAACACUUGCUGGCUUCUGGGGUAUAAACAUCCCCACCAUGGCCAAUUGUAUUUGUGCAUAGGUGGGUUAAGUUCAGGAUGGCCGGAGGGGCAGGAGUUACUGGAAUGAUCAGCCCGCCGGGAGAUUAUAAGGCAGAGUCAGGAGGGGCUUAGUGGAUGAGCUCAGUUUCAGGCUUCGUGCAGGGAAGGGGGACGGUCAUCACCCAGGUUUGAACUUCAUGUGUGUGCCUCGGACCCUGGGCUUUGCGAUCCUCUGAGGAAUUUAUGUGUCACCUGAUGGACCAUUCAUUGUGCAUCCUUUCUUCCCUUUAGAACUUGUCUGGAAACCCCAAGAAGUUUACCCAGCUCUGGAACCUGGGGAGAGGGGAAGUACCAGCAGAUGCCCUGGCAUUAAAUCUGGAAGCCAGAGCUAGAACCCAGCGCCCCCAGCCCCUGCCUUCUCCACCUGGGAGACACAGGAGACUCCUUGCUCUGCCCGCCUGCAGCUCUGUGACCUUGGGUAAGUAGCUUACCCUCUUUAUGUCUCAAUUUUCUAACUUAUAAGAUGGAAAUGAUAAUACCUUCUUCCAGUGUGUUUUCACAGCCACGAGCAGACCCUAGUUUUCAAGGACACUGUGGGUCACCUGUUUUCCUGAGGUGUGGGAGCCCCUCCUACCAGGAGAAGGCACUUCUGGUCGGAGGUGUGGGAUGCGGAGCAGCACCCCCAGUUCACACAGCUGCCCUGAGCUCACUGUCCUGUGUUCCAGGAAUUAAGUGACUUGCAGAGGGACUGUCCCGCCCCGUGCUCCGCAGGACCUGUGGGAGAGGAUUGUAAAUGCGUUUCAGGGCACCGGAUCCCAGGCGCCCUGCAAUCAAGACCCCCAAAUUUAUCAGCUCAUCGGUUUUGUUUCGGUUUGUUUUUUUUAAGAAAACCUGUCAUGUUUUCUCUUCAUUUGCUCGUGAACUGCUUCUUCAAUAGACACAUUGAGAUCAUAGGCAAGAUGCUGCCAGAAGUUACCACCUCCCAGUCAGUACCCGGCAGGGGAGGGCAAGAAAGCCGUCUUGUCCCGAGGCAUGUGGGCUUCUGGAAAAUGCCUCUGAUGAACUGAAACUUGGGGAGUUGGUGUGAAAAAUGGUCAUGAAGUGAGUCAUCGACCUGCUGCGGCUGCACUUGGCAGAACUGGAGGGCUGGCGCAGGGCAGGGGGGCUGGCUCUCUGCCUCUGCAAAGGGGAGGAGCGGUGCCCAUAGUUUUCCCCCACGUCUGCCCUUCCCCAGGGGAGCCUGAAAAAGCAGCGUGGCUAGCCCACUGCCACCCUCUGUGGCCAAUGGCCACAGGCCAGGCUGCCUAACACCUGGGUUCCCCAAAUCCAUACUCCUCUCUCCCACUUCACUUCCACUUUCUCAGCAUCUUAGGCUCGAGGACACUCAUCCUUUACUGUGAGGCUGCGGUCGCUACAGUCGAAGGGAGAACAGGACGGUACAAGGACCUGGAACACUGGUUACAUCCACCGGCAACACAAGGACAGCAGAGAAUUAAAAACAGGGACUCAAACAGAACUUGUACACCAGUGUUCAUUGCACCACUAUUUACAAUCCCCUAGAGGUGCCCAGAGGCCCGUCAACAGGUAAAUGAGUAAGCAAAGUGUGGUGUCUACAUACAAGUGCACGUUAUUUAGCCAGAAAAGGGAAUGAAGGUCUGGUACGUGCUGUAAUGUGGGUGAGGCUUGAAAACAUGCUGAGUGACAUAAGGCAGAAACAAAAAGAUGAAUACUGUAUGAUUCCAUUGAUAUGAAAUAUCUAGGCAAGGCAAAUUCAUAGAGACAGAGAGUAGAGUAGAGGUUCAUAGAUGCUGAGGGGAGGUAGAAAUGGGGAAUUAUUUCAUGGUUCAGAAUUUCUUUCUGGAGUGAUGUAAAAGUUUUAGAAAUGGGUCAUGGUGGUGGUUGCACAACAUGGUGAAUGCACUUAAUGCCACUGACCUAUACACUUAAAAAUGGCUAAGAUGACAUAUUUCAUGCUAUGUUUUUUAAACUUUUUUAUUAUGUUAAAAUACCAAAAAAAAAAAUCAUGAAGCUGGGAAAAAAAACCAAGAAAGUGGUGUCAUUUGUCUGUGUGCCUGCAUGUCCUGUGGGCUGAGGCUUUAGAGGUGGUGGACAGAUGGAGCCACUGAAAAUGAAGGGUUCCACCCUCCUGCACUGUCAGUGGGAAUGCAGUUUGCUGCAGCCAUUAUGGAAAACAGUCUGGAGAUUCCUCAAAAAACUGAAAAUAGAUUUACCAUAUGAUCCAACAAUCCCACUCCUGGGCAUAUAUACAAAGGGAACCUUAAUUCAAAAAGACACCUGCACCCCAAUGUUCAU